GACGAACGCUGGCGGCGUGCCUAAUACAUGCAAGUAGGACGCAGUUGCGAACGGGUGAGUAACGCGUUGGUAACUACCUAUUAGAGGGGGAUAACUCUUGGAAACGAUCGCUAUUACAGCCUACUAGUAGUUGGAUCUGCGGUGUAUUAGCUAGUAGGUAGGGUAAUGGACUACCUAGGCAAAGAUACAUAGCCGACCUGGGAGGGGGAUCGGCCACACUGGGACUGAGACACGGCCCAGACUCCUACGGGAGGCAGCAGGAGGGAAUGUUCGGCAAGGGGGGGAAACCUGACCGAGCAAAGCCGCGUGAGUGAAGAAGGUUUUCGGGUCGGAAAGCUCUGUUGUUAAGGAAGCGGUACUUAACCAGAAAGGGACGGCUAACUACGUGCCAGCAGCCGCGGUAAUAC
rnacentral:rRNA from 1 species